AGUGUAGUAAAUCUGUGGUAAAUCCUUACGACACAGGGCCAGAUCUUUUAUCAUCGGAUUUAAAAUGCUCUUCAGUUUUGACGAGAAACAUCGAUGUGCAAAAUGGUUUCGCAGAAAUUAUCUUUCUGGGCCUUCUGACUUACUUAUCGCUUGGAAACGAAAGGCAAAAACUCCUUCUAGAUAGCAACGAUGUGGACCCCGGAUUAGGCGUUGCAUAACAUCUUGGGAGCAUCCUUUCGUGUUUGCUAUGUUAUCGAACCCAUAAUGAACGAAAUAAGAACAUUUGAAAAUAAAAACAAAA